GACGAACGCUGGCGGCGUGCUUAACACAUGCAAGUCGAACGGAAAGGCCCUGCUUUUGUGGGAUGCUCGAGUGGCGAACGGGUGAGUAACACGUGAGUAACCUGCCCUUGACUUUGGGAUAACUUCAGGAAACUAGGGCUAAUACCGGAUAUGAGCUCCUGCUGCAUGGUGGGGGUUGGAAAGUUUCGGCGGUUGGGGAUGGACUCGCGGCUUAUCAGCUUGUUGGUGGGGUAGUGGCUUACCAAGGCUUUGACGGGUAGCCGGCCUGAGAGGGUGACCGGCCACAUUGGGACUGAGAUACGGCCCAGACUCAUACGGGAGGCAGCAGUGGGGAAUAUUGCACAAUGGGCGGAAGCCUGAUGCAGCAACGCCGCGUGCGGGAUGACGGCCUUCGGGUUGUAACCCGCUUUCGCCUGUGACGAAGCGUGAGUGACGGUAAUGGGUAAAGAAGCACCGGCUAACUACGUG
rnacentral:rRNA from 1 species